UGGGGGAUAUUGCACAAUGGGCGAAAGCCUGAUGCAGCGACGCCGCGUGGGGGAUGAAGGCCUUCGGGUUGUAAACUUCUUUUGCUCUGAACAAGGCAUGCCUUUGGGGUGUGUUGAGUGUAGGGGUUGAUUAGCGCCGGCUAACUACGUGCCAGCAGCCGCGGUAAUACGUAGGGCGCGAGCGUUGUCCGGAAUUAUUGGGCGUAAAGGGCUUGUAGGUGGCUGGUUGCGUCUGUCGUGAAAGCUCAUGGCUUAACUGUGGGUUUGCGGUGGGUACGGGCUGGCUUGAGUGCAGUAGGGGAGGCUGGAAUUCCUGGUGUAGCGGUGGAAUGCGCGGAUAUCAGGAGGAAUACCGGUGGCGAAGGCGGGUCUCUGGGCUGUUACUGACGCUGAGGAGCGAAAGCGUGGGGAGCGAACAGG
rnacentral:rRNA from 1 species